UGGGAGGAGGGUGCCUCUGUGCUAGAGCUGGAGCAGUGCCUGGGACCAGCUGAGGCCCGUACUUGCUGCGGGGAGGACCCCUGUAUCCCGUUUCCAGCACCAUGAAGUGUAGAACUGCAUUCCAGUGGUGAUGGCCUCAAAGGAAAAGGAUGUGGUGGCUUCCUCUAAGAUGGAAUUAAUGUAAUGAGAGGAAAAACAAUGCACAAAAUGAACUCGGGACAUUGCACACUCAUGUCAGGAGCAGUGCUCUCCGGCUGUGGGGUUAUUCCAGAGCACAAGUCAUCAAACUGCCCGGUCUUUCUCAUGCAAGCUCUUGGCCUGCACUGGCCCUCUGGGGCAGUCCCAUGCAACCACUACUCGGGAAGAGAAGCAGCUCUGCUGCUGCAGCAGCUGCAGCCUGGCAGGCACAGGAGUGUUUUGCCAGUACCACGAGGCAUCCCAGGCAGGGUGAGCUUUGGCUUUGAGUACUGACUCCUGCCAAGCAGGGCUGCAUCUCCCUGCAGCCAGGGAAGAGCUUUGUGCCUCCCUGGGAACGCGCCUGUGCCAGGGCUGCCGGUCAGGAAGGAUUCCAUCUAUUUCUUGGUCUUGGAGCUGAGCAAAAUCUCGACCCAGAACCCAGUAGACAACAAGGCAUUCUGAUGGCGCUUGAUGCUUAAGAUAAAUGCUGGGAUCUUCCUAGCACCAGGAGCUGCUGCUUCAGAGCUCCAGGGCUUUGCCUUAGAUACAGACUUUGUGUGCUUGUGUAUGUAUAUAUGGCACCAUGUAAAUGUCAGGAGACGCGCUGGGAAUCAUAGCUGCUAAAGCCUGUGAUAGAGAUGGAGCAGGAGUCCUUAAGUAUCGCAAUCACACAAGGCUGUAUCGUUUGAACUGUCUGGUGCUCUAUCACUUUAACAAGCCUUACGAGCCAAACAUCUUGCUUGUAUUUGGACAGGGAUUUGUCCUAAGCACAGA